UGUUUGUGUGUGUGUGUGUGUGUUUGUGUCUGACUGUGUGUGUGUUUGUGUCUGACUGUGUUUGUGUUUGUGUCUGUGUAUGUGUCUGUGUGUGUGUUUGUGUCUGACUGUGUGUGUGUUUGUGUCUGACUGUGUGUGUUUGUGUCUGACUGUGUGUGUGUUUGUGACUGUGUUUGUGUCUGUGUAUGUGUCUGACUGUGUGUGUGUAUGUGUCUGACUGUGUGUGUAUUUGUGUCUGACUGUGUGUUUGUGUCUGUCUGACUGUGUGUGUGUGUAUUUAGAAGGUGGGGCGGGGGGGAAGGGUUGGGUGGGGGUGGCACGGGGGUAGGGGGGCGCCUGAGUUUUAUCCUGCCUAGGGCAGCACAAAACCAGGAUACACCACUGGUCCCCCUCCCGCCGGGCUGGAUGGAGAGGAAGGGGUUAAACUUAUCACUUUUUCCAGUGUUGGGUGGGGAGCUCUCCUCCUCCUCUCCGCCUCCUUUCCUCCCUUUUGGCUGAAUGCGCACGCGCGGCAAGAGCUGCGCACAUUCAGCCGGUCUCAUAGGAAAGCAUUUACAAUGCUUUCCUAUGGACGCUUGCGUGUUCUCACUGUGAUUUUCACAGUGAGAAGCACGCAAACGCCUCUAGCGGCUGUCAAUGAGACAGCCACUAGAGGGUUUGGAGGCUGGAUU